UCUACCAGGACCCACCAAAGCCACUGUACCUAGGAGUAAGAGAGAAAUAAAGUAACUCCUGAAGCCACCGAAAGGAAGAUUUCAACAAUCUCAGUCCCCACAGCUGGACCAAGGUUAUCUAGGACAACUAGUGCCCCCAGACGUCUGGAAGGAGUAAAAUCCUCUGCCAAAGAGACAAGCUGUUCUGCUCCACAAUGCACUGCCACCAUUAUGUGCCACCACAGCCCCAAAGCAUGAGAGCCAAUCAUGGAUCAAAGCCUCCAGAACUGUCAGCCAAAAUCAACCUCUUCUCAGAUCCUUGUAAGCGUGACUGGUGUGGUACAGGGAGCACUAACGUGAAGGGCACUCUGCAACUCAGCCACUUUAGAAAACCUUGGUCACCACAUGCUGUGGUUGAAGGUAGGCAUGUUCUAGUAUCCAGCAAUUCUGCUUCUAGGUGGAACAGAAAUGCACAUUCAUAUCAACAGGAUUUGUUACAGUAUCAACCUGGAAACAGUCUUCAUGUCCAUUAAUGGCAGGAUGAAACAAUAUAUUCUGGUUAUUUAAUACAACCAACACCAAUGCCAAAGUGAAAAUGAAUAUAUUAUUGAUACAUGUAAGUACGUAUGUGAACUUCUCAAGCACAAGGUGAAGAUGCAUGAAAAACUGUAAGAUUUCCACUUAUAAAAAUUCCAAAUGAAGCCAAACUUACUGCAUUGUGUAGAAAUGAUUACUGAAGAAUGAUAAAGAAAAUUGUACUUGC